GGUGCCGUGGCCGAGUGGCGAGGCGCAGGACUGCAAAUCCUGUCACACCGGUUCGAUUCCGGUCGGCACCU
rnacentral:tRNA from 1 species